rnacentral:rRNA from 1 species
GACGAACCGUGCGAACGUUAUUCGGAAUCACUGGGCUUAAAGCGCGUGUAGGCGGGAGGGCACGUCCGGUGCUGAAAUCCCCCGGCUCAACCGGGGAACGGGCGCGGAUACGGCUCUCCUUGAGGGGCGUAGGGGGACCUGGAACUUCCGGUGGAGCGGUGAAAUGCGUUGAGAUCGGAAGGAACGCCCGUGGCGAAAGCGAGGUCCUGGACGCCUACUGACGCUGACGCGAAAGCCAGGGGAGCGAACGGG